UGGGGAAUAUUGCACAAUGGGCGCAAGCCUGAUGCAGCCAUGCCGCGUGUAUGAAGAAGGCCUUCGGGUUGUAAAGUACUUUCAGCGGGGAGGAAGGCGGUGAGGUUAAUAACCUCGCCGAUUGACGUUACCCGCAGAAGAAGCACCGGCUAACUCCGUGCCAGCAGCCGCGGUAAUACGGAGGGUGCAAGCGUUAAUCGGAAUUACUGGGCGUAAAGCGCACGCAGGCGGUCUGUUAAGUCAGAUGUGAAAUCCCCGGGCUUAACCUGGGAACUGCAUUUGAAACUGGCAGGCUUGAGUCUCGUAGAGGGGGGUAGAAUUCCAGGUGUAGCGGUGAAAUGCGUAGAGAUCUGGAGGAAUACCGGUGGCGAAGGCGGCCCCCUGGACGAAGACUGACGCU
rnacentral:rRNA from 1 species